rnacentral:rRNA from 1 species
GACAGGCAUAUAUUAGCAUAAAGACUCGUCUUUAGCGCUAAUUGUUAAAUAUGCUAGUCCUUUCAUGAUUAUGUGAUAGGUGGUGCAUGGCCGUUCUUAGUUCGUGGAGUGAUCUGUCUGCUUAAUUGCGUUUCACUAAGGGCCCAUAAAUUCAAGGUAUGUUAGCAAAUGCUGCUCUAUUGACCCCUAAUAGGCUUAACUGUCUUUAGCGCGUGUCUCUACGAGUUCUUUAAAGCACUGCGCAUGCUGUUGGGUCCUGAAAGCAACGAACGUGACCGCAACGUCUUGUUGCCUCUCUAUAAUAUCUUCUUAUUUUUAAUAAGAGUAUUUACCUGAGGCUAUUUUAAAACUAGACGGACCGCUGUUUCUUUCUUAAACCAGAGGAAGGUUGCGGCAAUAACAGGUCUGUGAUGCCCUUAGAUGUUCCGG